UACAGAGGUCUCAACCGUUGUUCGGAUUCAUUGGGCGUAAAGGGUGCGUAGGCGGUCGUGCAAGUCGGAUGUGAAAUCUCAGGGCUCAACCCUGAAACUGCAUUCGAUACUGCGCGGCUAGAGUGCUGGAGGGGAGACUGGAAUUUACGGUGUAGCAGUGAAAUGCGUAGAUAUCGUAAGGAAGGCCGGUGGCGAAAGCGAGCCUCUGGACAGUUACUGACGCUGAUGCACGAAGGCCAGGGGAGCAAACGGG
rnacentral:rRNA from 1 species